CUGAUGCAGCGACGCCGCGUGAGGGAUGACGGCCUUCGGGUUGUAAACCUCUUUCAGCAGGGAAGAAGCGAGAGUGACGGUACCUGCAGAAGAAGCGCCGGCUAACUACGUGCCAGCAGCCGCGGUAAUACGUAGGGCGCAAGCGUUGUCCGGAAUUAUUGGGCGUAAAGAGCUCGUAGGCGGCUUGUCGCGUCGGUUGUGAAAGCCCGGGGCUUAACCCCGGGUCUGCAGUCGAUACGGGCAGGCUAGAGUUCGGUAGGGGAGAUCGGAAUUCCUGGUGUAGCGGUGAAAUGCGCAGAUAUCAGGAGGAACACCGGUGGCGAAGGCGGAUCUYUGGGCCGAUACUGACGCUGAGGAGCGAAAGCGUGGGGAGCGAACAGGAUUAGAUACCCUGGUAGUCCACGCCGUAAACGGUGGGCACUAGGUGUGGGCAACAUUCCACGUUGUCCGUGCCGCAGCUAACGCAUUAAGUGCCCCGCCUGGG
rnacentral:rRNA from 1 species